GAGUUGGUGAGAUGGAAUGUUCGCAGUUUGAACAGUCUGGCUAAACACAAAGCAUUAAGGGAAUUUGUGGAUGCCACAAAGUCAGCAAUUUUUUGUAUUCAAGAAUCAAAACUUGAGGUUGUUGACCCUUUUAUUAUUUUGCCAUGCUUUGGGCCAUCGUAUGAUGGGUUCUCGUACUUGCCGGCUUCAGGUACUAGAGGGGGUAUCAUGUUGGUUUGGGACUCGUCCGUGAUGAACAUCUCUAACUAUGUGUUUGAUACUAACUUCAUCACUGCCUACUUCACCCCGUUGGAGGGGCCACCCUGGUGGCUUUUGGUGGUAUAUGGACCCCAGGAAGAUAAUGACAAAAUACAAUUCUUGGAGGAGUUAGCUGCGAGACGUUUGCUCUUCCCUGGGCCGUGGCUCCUUAUUGGCGAUUUUAACUUGAUUCUGCAAGUGGUGGACAAGAGCAAUACUUACCUAGACAUGAGAAUGAUGAGUAAAUUCAUGUGCUUUGUCGACAACCACAGACUCAAAGAGCUGUUUUUGCAUGGUCGUUUGUUCACUUGGAGCAAUGAAAGGGAGAUGCUCACGCUGACUAAAAUUGAUAGGGCAUUCGUAUCGGUAGACUGGGAGCUAGAGCAUCCUGACUGCAUCCUUCAAGCUCUAUCCACGGCGACCUCGGAUCACUGCCCCUUGCACCUGACGCUCGACGAACAUCUACACAUACAUAAGCGUUUCCGGUUUGAGAUAUUCUAG
rnacentral:rRNA from 1 species